rnacentral:rRNA from 1 species
GCUUUUUGUGGACAUUGGGGGGUCGUGAAGACUCUAUCAGUGAGUUUUUGUUCUCGGAAGGACUAGAUAUGAAUAUUGAAUAGUCAGACAUAGUACGAUAAGGUUGUAUGUCUAAAGGGAAACAGCCCAGAACAAGAGUUAAUAAGGUUCCAAAAUUAUUGUUAAGUGAAAUUAAGGCAGUAUUUAUUCCAAACAGCCAGGCAAUAGGCUUAGAAGCGGCCAUUUUCUGAAGACCUCGUAACAGAGCACUGGUUUUGUUUUAAGGAUAAAAGCACCGAAAAUUUAACGGAUCUAAACAAUAUACCGAUACCUUGUCUAAAUAUAUUAAUGUAUUUAUAUAUUACAUUGUAUAUUUGGGGUAGCAGAACAUUGGCGAAAUUUAUAAUUAUGCCUUUAUAAGGCAUAAUUUUGCCUUUUAUACAAGCAUAUUAACAAGCCAAGCGAUAAUGCUGACAUGAGUAACGAUAAAGGGGAAUACCCUCGCCUAAAGCUUAUGGAAUUUAAUUAAAGUUACGGCCUCUAAGUUUAUUAUAUAUAUAAUAAAUAAUCAGUUAUUUAUUAAUAAUCCCAAAAGGGGUAAACGAUGAGCAAAUCUAUGAUUUACAGAAGAUAACAUUUUCAUGUUUCGCAACAUAGUGACAAAUGUUCUGGAAAACUGUAUAUCUCGUUUG